AGAGUUUGAUCCUGGCUCAGGAUGAACGCUAGCGGCAGGCCUAAUACAUGCAAGUCGAACGGUGGUAGCAAUACCAUAGUGGCGCACGGGUGCGUAACGCGUAACCAACCUACCCAGAACUGGGGGAUAGCCCGCCGAAAGGCGGAUUAAUACCGCAUAAGACCGCGGACAGGCAUCUGUGAGUGGUUAAAGAUUUAUUGGUUUUGGAUGGGGUUGCGUGCCAUUAGCUGGUUGGGGGGGUAACGGCCCACCAAGGCGACGAUGGCUAGGGGAGCUGAGAGGCUGGUCCCCCACACGGGCACUGAGAUACGGGCCCGACUCCUACGGGAGGCAGCAGUAGGGAAUAUUGGGCAAUGGCCGAGAGGCUGACCCAGCCAUGCCGCGUGCCGGAUGAAGGCCUUCUGGGUCGUAAACGGCUUUUGCCCGGGAAGAAUAAGACCCAUGCGUGGGUCGACGACGGUACCGGGUGAAUAAGCACCGGCUAACUCCGUGCCAGCAGCCGCGGUAAUACGGAGGGUGCAAGCGUUGUCCGGAUUUAUUGGGUUUAAAGGGUGCGUAGGCGGUUCGUUAAGUCCGGGGUGAAAGCCCGUUGCUCAACAACGGAACUGCCCCGGAAACUGGCGGACUUGAGUACAGACGAGGUUGGCGGAAUGGAAGGUGUAGCGGUGAAAUGCAUAGAUACCUUCCAGAACCCCGAUUGCGAAGGCAGCUGACUAGGCUGUAACUGACGCUGAGGCACGAAAGCGUGGGGAGCGAACAGGAUUAGAUACCCCGGUAGUCC
rnacentral:rRNA from 1 species